rnacentral:rRNA from 1 species
GCUUGGUGGAUCAGUGGCGAACGGGUGAGUAACACGUGAGCAACCUGCCCUGGACUCUGGGAUAAGCGCUGGAAACGGCGUCUAAUACUGGAUAUGAGACGUGAUCGCAUGGUCGUGUUUGGAAAGAUUUUUCGGUCUGGGAUGGGCUCGCGGCCUAUCAGCUUGUUGGUGAGGUAAUGGCUCACCAAGGCGUCGACGGGUAGCCGGCCUGAGAGGGUGACCGGCCACACUGGGACUGAGACACGGCCCAGACUCCUACGGGAGGCAGCAGUGGGGAAUAUUGCACAAUGGGCGAAAGCCUGAUGCAGCAACGCCGCGUGAGGGAUGACGGCCUUCGGGUUGUAAACCUCUUUUAGCAGGGAAGAAGCGAAAGUGACGGUACCUGCAGAAAAAGCGCCGGCUAACUACGUGCCAGCAGCCGCGGUAAUACGUAGGGCGCAAGCGUUAUCCGGAAUUAUUGGGCGUAAAGAGCUCGUAGGCGGUUUGUCGCGUCUGCUGUGAAAUCCCGAGGCUCAACCUCGGGCCUGCAGUGGGUACGGGCAGACUAGAGUGCGGUAGGGGAGAUUGGAAUUCCUGGUGUAGCGGUGGAAUGCGCAGAUAUCAGGAGGAACACCGAUGGCGAAGGCAGAUCUCUGGGCCGUAACUGACGCUGAGGAGCGAAAGGGUGGGGAGCAAACAGGCUUAGAUACCCUGGUAGUCCACCCCGUAAACGUUGGGAACUAGUUGUGGGGACCAUUCCACGGUUUCCGUGACGCAGCUAACGCAUUAAGUUCCCCGCCUGGGGAGUACGGCCGCAAGGCUAAAACUCAAAGGAAUUGACGGGGACCCGCACAAGCGGCGGAGCAUGCGGAUUAAUUCGAUGCAACGCGAAGAACCUUACCAAGGCUUGACAUAUACGAGAACGGGCCAGAAAUGGUCAACUCUUUGGACACUCGUAAACAGGUGGUGCAUGGUUGUCGUCAGCUCGUGUCGUGAGAUGUUGGGUUAAGUCCCGCAACGAGCGCAACCCUCGUUCUAUGUUGCCAGCACGUAAUGGUGGGAACUCAUGGGAUACUGCCGGGGUCAACUCGGAGGAAGGUGGGGAUGACGUCAAAUCAUCAUGCCCCUUAUGUCUUGGGCUUCACGCAUGCUACAAUGGCCGGUACAAAGGGCUGCAAUACCGUGAGGUGGAGCGAAUCCCAAAAAGCCGGUCCCAGUUCGGAUUGAGGUUUGCAACUCGACCU